GACCACCUGGCGGCUCGCCCACAGUGUCAGUCUAAGCAGGGCUAGAGGGGUGGUGCUCCUCCUCCAUCGGGCAGACGAGUUUCCAGGACGGCCACUAGAGCCUCGGAAAUCGGACACUUUCCCAGGGAAGGUGGCGGCAAGCUGCGACCCAUCCCGGGAACACGGAGCGCGCGUCGGGAACAGGAGAGCCCGUUUGCUCUCCGUCUGGAUGCUACGCCUGCUUGUCACAGGGCCGCAGGGGACACUCGGAGCCGGUAGGCACGCCCAGUGGAUGCGCUGUUGGCAGGGGCGAAGAGACCUCGUCCACCUGCAGGGAGGGAACGUGCAGACUCCACACGGACAGACACCCCGGUCCAGACUCGAACCCAGGAGGCCGGAGCUGUGA
rnacentral:lncRNA from 1 species